CUUAACAGGGAGAUGUGACUUUUACUCGUCUAGAGAGAGGUUUUUGCCAAUUUUGUUAUCCACUAUAGGGCAGAAGAACAACCCUCUUGUCCCAGCUAUAAGUAAGAGGGUCAUCUCAAUGACUGAAGCAGGACUGUACAACCAGUGGUUUAAAUAUAUGGUUCCCAACAUAUCUUCCUGUGUUUCUCCUCCCAGCAAGAUCACCGUCAGCACCUCGCUCUCCCUCGCUAACCUCUGGGGUAUGUUUGUGGUGUUAGUGGGUGGCCACGCGCUGGCUCUUCUGGUUCUCUGUACUGAGCUCAUCACCAGUCACAUUCUUCAGGCCCGAGCCACUCAGCCUGAUUCUUGUCUCCCGUGUUAAGAAGGUGACGACUCCAGACCUCUACUCCAAACGAUAUCGGACUGUCUUUACACAUCCUCAAGACUGUAUGUCCCUACGAGGACCCAACUUGAUCAUAUAAUCAAUAUUCACAUCAUCCCUGUCACUCCAACCUUAAAAUUUUCCUAUCAACAUCUCUAUCAUUAUCUCUUCAUCACCUAAUUAUACAGCCAAAGCUUUUUCUUGUUUACACCAUUUACCUCGUUACUCUAGCCAUCACAUCCGUAGUGCUGAUUCGUUUGUUUUUCUGUGUCACUAUACCCAGUAUUGCAAACUUCUCAUUAUGUUCUAAUCAUAUUCAUAUUUUCCGCUGCAA